rnacentral:rRNA from 1 species
UACGUAGGUGGCAAGCGUUGUUCGGAAUUAUUGGGCGUAAAGGGCGCGUAGGCGGCAUGUUAAGUCGGCUGUGAAAGCCUGGGGCUCAACCCCAGAGGGUCGGCCGAUACUGGCAAGCUAGAGUACGGAAGAGGUAGCUGGAAUUCCCGGUGUAGCGGUGAAAUGCGUAGAUAUCUGGAGGAACACCGGUGGCGAAGGCGGCAUCCUGGACCGGCAUUGACGCUGAGGCGCGAAAGCCAGGGGAGCAAACGGG